rnacentral:tRNA from 1 species
GCUGGGGUAGCUCAGCGGUAGAGCAACGGACUGAAAAUCCGUGGGCCGCCAGUUCAAAUCUGGCCCCCAGCACCA